rnacentral:rRNA from 1 species
GACAAACGCUGGCGGCGUGCGUAACACAUGCAAGUCGUGCGGGUCGGCUCUUCGGAGCCGGUCAGCGGCGGACGGGUGAGUAACACGUGAGUCACCAACCCUCCAGUGGGGGAUACCCGGCGGAAACGCUGGUUAAUCCCGCAUACGUUUCUUCGGAAAGAAAGCCGUAAGGCGCUGGUGGACGGGCUCGCGGUCGAUUAGCUGGUUGGUAGGGUAACGGCCUACCAAGGCGACGAUCGAUAGCUGGUCUGAGAGGAUGAUCAGCCACAC